UCCCUGGAGGACUAGUGGUUAGGCCUCGGUGCUCUCAUUACUGCAGACUGGGUUUGAUUCCUGGCCAGGGAA